CCUCCCGGUCACUACAACAACGGCGGCCCAAUCAAAUCCCGCGCUCCAGGCAUGGCCAGCCGAGCCCCGAGGUUCCGCCGGCGCCGGAGAGAGCCGGGCCUCCGCCAGCUGGCAGGAGGGAUGCCUGGGGGUCAGGGCGACCGCACAGCAAAGCCGACGUUGACUAACACUCGCGCUGCCCCUAGCUGGACGCCCGGAAAGAAGGGAAUAACCGGCAUAGGAAUGAGAGCGAUGGGAGCGAGCGGAGAAUGAAUUUGUGAUCGAUGCAAUCAGAGUUCUAUUGCACGUUAAAGGGACAGCGCCCGCGAAUUUCAAACAGAUGAGGAGGUGGACGUGCAGAGGCAUUAAGUUACUUGCUCCAGGUACACAGCCAGGAAGAAGUAGAGCUUUGGACUUCUGAGUGGGCACAUGAUCCAGGCCUGCCUGGAAUACAAUAUCAAGGUUGCCACUGGCCUCAGGUUGAAACAAGGAUGGACACAUCACCUAAGCCAGAAACAUGAGUCUGCCUACCGUGUGAAGGCUCAGCUGUGGAGUGAUGGGAGCAGAAGGGUGGAAACAAGGAGGCACAGAAGGUCAAACUCCGGUGAACUCUCUUUGCUCUCGUACCACAGAUCAUACCUGCUUUGCCAAUCUGAACAGCCAACUUUCUUCUCUAUCAAGGAGAGCUAUCUUCAAACUUGAAAAUGUGGAACAAACAUGGUCAAGAAGAAAGAGACGCUCAAGAUAGGAGGAGAUAGUAAGAGAAUACCCAGCUACAUUUAAUGAGCUCAAGUUUGGAGAGAGAGCCAGACCACGAAGGGAACUGAGACCGAUCACCCUGGACUCUCUGGAGUGACCACCAAAGCAGUCAAGGGAACGGGAGGAGAGCUGGAAACCCACAGAUGGAAAAAUGGUGUUCUGUUCUAAAAAGGAAACCAAAAUACCCCCAAGAAUCAAAAAUGGUAGAUAAUCAGUUAUGUGUUAAUUCCUGGGAAUACUCUUGACUGGAUUAAUAAAAAACAGGGGUAUAAAAUCUUAGAAAGAAGGGUGCUUAUUGCAGAGGACACUGUGGGGUCAAUAAGAAUAAAGACAUGAUCCAAACUUC